UAGGUUUGUGAAGGUGUCUUGUGAGGGAUGCUGGAGGUAUUAGAAGUGUGAAUGUUGAUAUGAGUAGUGAUAAAGCGGGUGAAAAGCCCGCUUGUUGAAAGUUUAAGGUUUUUUGUGUAAUGUUUAUUGGUGUAGGGUGAGUUGGUCCCUAAGGUGAGGUUGAGAAGUGUAGUUGAUGGGAAAUAGGUUAAUAUUCCUGUACCUCUUUGUAAUGUGAUGGGGGGAUGGAGAAGGUUAGGUUAGUUGGGUGUUGGAUGUUUUGGUUUAAGUGUGUAGGUGUGUUUUUUAGGUAAAUUUGGAAAGCUUAGUUGAGGUGUGAUGAUGAGUGGUUUUUGAUUGUGAAGUGAUUGAUAUUAAGUUUUUAAGAAAAGUUUUUAAGUUUUAGUUACAAAGAGACCGUAUUGUAAAUUGAUAUAGGUGGGUAGGAUGAGAAUUUUAAGGUGUUUGAGAGAAUUUAGGAGAAGGAAUUUGGUAAAUUAGUAUUGUAAUUUUGGGAUAAGGUGUGCCCCGGUAGAGUGUAGAUCUUUGUGAUCGAAGCUCGAUGGGGUUGUAGUGAAAUGGUGGUUGUGAUUGUUUAAUAAAAAUAUAGCACUCUGUAAACACGAAAGUGGAUGUAUAGGGUGUGAUGUUUGUUUGGUGUUGGAAGAUUAAAUGAUGGGGUGUAAGCUCUUGAUUGAAGUCUUAGUAAAUGGUGGUUGUAAUAAUAAUGGUUUUAAGGUAGUGAAAUUUCUUGUUGGGUAAGUUUUGAUCUGUAUGAAUGGUUUAAUGAGUUGAAUAUUGUCUCCUUUACGAGCCCGGUGAAAUUGUAGUAUUGGUGAAGAUGUUGGUUACCCGCCACGGGAUGGAAAGAUCCUGUGAACCUUUACUAUAAUUUUACAUUGAUUUUGAGCAAACAAUGUGUAGGAUAGUUGGGAGACUUUGAAGCAGUGUCGCCAGGCAUUGUGGAGUCAACGUUGAAAUACCAACCUUUGUUUGCUUAGAACCUAACCCUAAUCAGGGGACAGUGUAUGGUGGGUAGUUUGACUGGGGUGGUCGCCUCCUAAAAAGUAACGGAGGCUCGCAAAGGUACCCUCAGUACGGUUGGUAAUCGUACGUAGAGCGCAUUAGUAUAAGGGUGCUUGACUGUGAGGCAAACACGCCGAGCAGGAGCGAAAGCUGGCUAAAGUGAUCCGGUGGUUCUGUAUGGAAGGGCCAUCGCUCAAAGGAUAAAAGGUACUCCGGGGAUAACAGGCUGAUCUUACCCAAGAGCUCAUAUCGACGGUAAGGUUUGGCACCUCGAUGUCGGUUCGUCACAUCCUGGGGCUGGAGAAGGUCCCAAGGGUUCGGCUGUUCGCCGAUUAAAGUGGCACGUGAACUGGGUUCAGAACGUCGCAAGACAGUUCGGUCCCUAUCUGUGGUGGGCGCUAGUAAAUUGAGUGGACAUGACCUUAGUACGAGAGGACCGGGUUGUACGUACCGCUGGUGUAUCUGUUAUGCCGCCAGGUGUAAUGCAGAGUAGCUAUGUACGGCAAGGAUAAACGCUGAAAGCAUCUAAGCGUGAAACCUUCCUCAAGAUGAGUUUACUUUUAAGGGUCGUCGAAGACUACGACGUUGAUAGGCUAUAGGUGUAAAGUUGGUAACAACAAAGCCAUAUCGUGACUGGGAAAC
rnacentral:rRNA from 1 species